GAUGAACGCUGGCGGCGUGCCAAAUACAUGCAAGUCGAGCGAAUGGAUUAAGAGCUUGCUCUUAUGAAGUUAGCGGCGGACGGGUGAGUAACACGUGGGUAACCUGCCCAUAAGACUGGGAUAACUCCGGGAAACCGGGGCUAAUACCGGAUAACAUUUUGAACCGCAUGGUUCGAAAUUGAAAGGCGGCUUCGGCUGUCACUUAUGGAUGGACCCGCGUCGCAUUAGCUAGUUGGUGAGGUAACGGCUCACCAAGGCAACGACGCGUAGCCGACCUGAGAGGGUGAUCGGCCACACUGGGACUGAGACACGGCCCAGACUCCUACGGGAGGCAGCAGUAGGGAAUCUUCCGCAAUGGACGAAAGUCUGACGGAGCAACGCCGCGUAAGUGAUGAAGGCUUUCGGGUCGUAAAACUCUGUUGUUAGGGAAGAACAAGUGCUAGUUGAAUAAGCUGGCACCUUGACGGUACCUAACCAGAAAGCCACGGCUAACUACGUGCCAGCCGCCGCAGUAA
rnacentral:rRNA from 1 species